rnacentral:rRNA from 1 species
CGAAGGAUGCAAGCGUUAUCCGGAUUCAUUGGGUUUAAAGGGUGCGUAGGCGGACUGAUAAGUCAGUGGUGAAAUCUCUUUGCUUAACAAAGAAACUGCCAUUGAUACUGUCAGUCUAGAGUAUAGAUGACGUUGGCGGAAUAUGACAUGUAGUGGUGAAAUACUUAGAUAUGUCAUAGAACACCGAUUGCGAAGGCAGCUAACGAAACUAUAACUGACGCUGAGGCACGAAAGUGCGGGGAUCAAACAGGAUUAGAUACCCUGGUAGUCCGCACCGUAAACGAUGAUUACUCGUUGUUGGCGAUAUGACAGUCAGCGACCAAGCGAAAGCGAUAAGUAAUCCACCUGGGGAGUACGCCGGCAACGGUG